UCCCCAGGCUCCCUUUGCUCUCUGUGCUCUCUGUCUGCUUCCUUGAGGGCAAAUUUACACUGACUGUGUUGAUUCACUGCUCACCAUGGUGGUAACCCUGAAAAACAACUAAAUGAGAAAGUGUGAUCUCUGGCAUCAGGGACUGCUGGGAAUCGGAAAAGAUGCUCUGGUCAUGCUCAAGUACCCAAAAGGGACUGGAAGUUCCUCCCUCAGCUAAAAUUCACUUCCUGAAAGUUUCCCAGGAAAGAGACAGAUGUUGCUCUUAAAUUAUACCAUGAUUUUUUUUUCACCUAAGUCUCUUCUCCUCAAUUAGGGUAGAAACUCUUUAAAGGAGGGCCUGGACUUUAAGCUUUUUUGUUUUGUUUUGUUUUUUUUAAUCAUCCCUUCCACCAAGAUAACCAGUUCAAGAGCACAGAGCAAGAGCCUGGUGGAAGCAGGAGGAAGUCGGAGGAAGGAUUGGUUUUGGGGUGUGAUUUAAAGAAAUCUCCUUUUGGAUUUUAAACCCAACUCCAUCUUUGCAAAGUGAUGAAUUGUCCUCAGAGCUUGUUCCUCGGCCAGAACAAGAACAGUUCCCCGGAGCAGGUCCUGCAGUCUUCAGCUACAAGUAGGGAUCUGAGUCGGUCAGAGAGAAAUGUCUGGGGAAAUGGGAUUAAAGAAGGUAACAGCCACUGGAAGAAUUUGGCCCCAAAGCUGAGGACUCCUCAAUCAAUAUGCAUGACUUUAAGAAUUCCUAUUUUAAUCAGCAAAACGGAAAUGAAAUUCCCAAUGUAGCUUUUAGUUAAAAAAAUAAAUUAUAAGUGGUACAUGAUAUUCAUGCAUGCCAUUUCCUCUGAAAUUCUUUUUAAGAAUUGAAGAAAAUAACCAUUUAACAUACUGGAAAGAACAGUACCCUAGGAGUUCAGAGAUUUAGUUUCAUGCCCUAAAUUUAUCACCUCCUAGCUGUGUGAUCAAAAGCAGCCAGUUUCCCCGUCUUACCUUAUUUCACUUAUACAAGAGUGACAGAGUUGGUGAUAUGUAAACUCUCCCCGGCCUCAAUAAAAUUGAGCUAGUAAAUCCCUGACUGGUGAUUAAGACGCAUCCAUCUGUCCAUCCUCUUCUCAAAUGUGCAGUGAAUUCCAGCGUGGACAGUGGCCCUGGGAUUUGAGCCCUUAUCAUCUGCAUGGAUGAUGCUGAUAGCAUUCACAGGCUUCCAAGCAUCCAGCCUCAAUGCUUCUGUGAAUUCCGAGCCCUUGUCUACCUCAUCCUCCCAACCUUCAAGCAGUCCCCAGCAUCUGCUCUUGCCCUGUGUCCAUCUCUGCUCCAUCCUAGGCCUUCCAUGCCCGUCACACUGCUCUUCUCUUCCAAUCUCACUAGUUCUCAAACCAAUCCCUAGGAGGCCCCCCAGCCUCCAUUCCUCCUCUCAAAUCCACCUUACAUGUUAUGCCCACAGCUGCAUAGCGGUUUUUAAUUUUAGCAACCUUUUCUGAAGGUUUGCUGAGUGUCAGGCACUGUGCCUGGGCCUCGAGGAGUUCACGGUGCAGAAAGACACAGUCAUAGAUAAGUGCAUUGUGGCAGGGGGCUGCAGUGAUGGACCCUCAGGAUGUCCGGUUUCUUCUGCUCCUCCCCUGAGCCUUCCUCUUCGAUUGUUUUCUCUUUCAUGCUUCCGCCAUCUUACUCAUCACAUCCCUUCACACUUCAUUCUUCACCUGUUUCUCCUCUUGACUGGGCUGAGCAACUUGAUGGCAGGGAUCUGAUAAAUUCAAGCCAUUCUUUCACAUCAGAAACCUUGAGUUGCUCCCUACUGGCCUCGGGAAGAGAUCCCAACCUUUGUGCUAGGCACUUAAAGCCCUUAAGAGUCUGAUGCUAUCUUUCCAAUUAACUUCACUAAUAAACCCAUGUUCAGUUCCACCCUCUUCCUUUCACUCUCACUACACAUCUGAAAUUUCACCCUUUAGCUGUGCGACAGUGUGGCCUCGCCAACACUGUCACACUCACUGCUUUGGAGAGUCAGCAGGUGCCUCUUCUGGAAACAAGCCCCCUCCCCUGCCUACAGGGCUUGCCUCUUCCCAAGGUCCAGAUCAAAUUCUAUCCUUUCGAAGAACUUUGCAGAGACCCAGAUCCAGCCGUUCAGAAUUGGUUUCAUCUGCUCCCUAAUACUUCUCAUUGCAAAUGUUCUAAUGCAUUGUGGUCUCUCUUGCAAAGGUUUUGUGAGCUUUCCAUUUGCUACAUUACGAGGUUCCAGGGAUAAGUGCCCAUAUCGUUUGAAUUUUUGGAUCCUCUGCAGCAGGGAGCUUAGUGCCUGACACUUGAGCUAUAAUUCUGCACUGAGAAAUCACCAUCCGCCAGUUUAGGAUUCUUGAUGUUCACAAUACACCAUGGAACUAGGCUCAGAAAGAGGCAACGUGAACUACCCACGGCACCAACAGCCAUGUGGAGAAGAGUUUGAAGAUAAACUUAAGCAACAUUUCCUGAACCUGGUGGGAAUUUCUAGAAGAUGUUUCAAAGGAGUUAGCAUCUGCUUUUGUUCCUGACAACUAAAGAGGAAUUCGACAGAGGGAAAAAAGGCAAGGCUAUUCUAAUAAGAGAAUAAAAUUUGAGGCCCUGGCCAUCAGGACCACCUCUCACCGACCGACCACCGCACCAUGCAGUCUGGCGCAAAGGAUCUCGAGCCCGAGGAACAGAUUUCCCUCUGAAACACACUCAAAGCUUUGGAGCAAAGGCUCCAAAGAGAUACUGAAAAAGAGCACAUUUCACGUUUGGUCGUCUCCACCCAGGCUUCUGCACCCUCCCGUCCUCCAGCUUGAAUACAUCGCAUAACCUAUAGCAAAAGCAUAGGAGGAAGCCAAGGCUCAGACUGGAAGAAGCAAGGCCGAGGCUUACACAACCAACCAGCAACAGGCCUCUGCAAUUUCCCGGCCAGGGCUCAUUGUCAUUGCUCUCCUGACCUGUCUAUCAGACCUGGGAAAAGGGACACAAGAAAAAGACGAAAUGGCCAUCCUUCUUGGCGUGGAGUCACUUGAUCUGGCUUUUCAUCACUGACUUGUCAGGGAAAGAAGCUUAUCCUGAGGGGGGAGAAAGACACAAGAAACAUGCAAUACUUCCAAAACACUGACUGGAAAACUUACACAAGGUUAAGAGAUCUUAGUGUAUUUUUACAAGGUAUGAUUCUAGAUGAGAUAAUGCCUAAACAGAAAUCUGUUUCUUUCCUACUUUCAAUCUCAGUGUUACUAGCCUUGUAAAUUUCUUUGUCUGUGACUCUCAGGUGCUACGGGUCUCUGCCCCUGGGAAAUGCAGUUAGCUCACGACUGAGUUCUAAGCUGUAAUUGAGAGAACACUGGAAUUGUUAUUAAGGUAAAAGGAAGCUUACUGAUGUUCUGGGCCAUAUUCCUCAGUUUACAGAUGAGUAGUGUGGGGCUGAGAGGGGUUAAGCCCUUAAUCCACAUUCACAGACUACUAACUCUACAAAUCUUCCAUUUGGCCAAACAUGUGCAAGGAGCUUUCUACAAAGCAUCUCACUUUGUAAUAUGUAGGUGAUUUUCAUGAAUAAUACGUGGAUUGUGCCCAACUCUGGGAGGCUGAAUGCUUAUUGUAACCUUGGUUUAAAGAAUCCACAGGCAUCUACAUGAGGGAUGGAUCAUGGCUGGUCCUCACCAUCUUUUGUUUCAUGGAAAGACUGGUACACCGACAUCAGGGGAAUUUUCCAAGAUUUCCAUGAUGAAUUAGCAAAGGCACAAAGACAGCAGGCUGCUCCGGAUGACACGGAAUACAGGAAUCCCAGUUCUAACCCCAUCUCUAAUCAUGUGGAGGAUUUUGGGCAAAAGCUGCCUCCAUUCUGAGUGUCAGUUUCCCCACCCAUAGAAGGGAUUUACUUGACGAUGUUCUAAGAACAUUUCAGCUGUCAUGGUCUCAGGAUAUAGAAUCCAAGAUUCAGGGCUAUUUCAUGACUAAAAUAUGAUUGUGUGAAGCCAGAAAUCAAUUACUAUAGUAAUAUACCUCCAAGCUUUUCAAACUGCACAGAAUAAAUGAGUUUUGCUUCCAAAACACAAAGACACAAUUUGUCACUAGCUAUUUAUAUACAAACUAUUAAUGAUAAUAAAUUUGAUUUCACUUUUCCCCAUAUCACUUUCUCAACCUCUUGGUAUCUAUAAUCACUUGUCUGCUCCCAAGGAAAAACACAUAAAACAACAGAUAAACUAAUAGCAGACAAAUAGAAGACUCAGACACCUGAUAUCUCUAUCACUCAUUCGUUUUUUGAGGUAUAGGAAAAAGAAAUAAUAUGUAUCAAACAUCUAUGUCAUACCAUGGAAUUGAUACAAUUCCAUAUAAGAUCAGUAAACAAUGUUUUCUAAUGUCCCUUUUACAGAAGGCAAAACUGAAGCCCAGAGAUAAAAUGAUUUCCUUAGUAUAUAUAAAAUUGCUAAGUAAUAAAGUUUAGGUUUGAAAUUAGUUUUCCUAACUCAGA